UUUCCACCGGAGCUUGCUCCACCGGAGAAAGAGGAGUGGGGAACGGGUGAGUAGCACGUGGGGAACCUGCCCAUCAGAAGGGGAUAACACUUGGAAACAGGUGCUAAUACCGUAUAACAAUCGAAACCGCGUGGUUUUGAUUUGAAAGGCGGUUUCGGGUGUCGCUGAUGGAUGGACCCGCGGUGCAUUAGCUAGGUGGUGAGGUAACGGCUCACCAAGGCCACGAUGCAUAGCCGACCUGAGAGGGUGAUCGGCCACAUUGGGACUGAGACACGGCCCAAACUCCUACGGGAGGCAGCAGUAGGGAAUCUUCGGCAAUGGACGAAAGUCUGACCGAGCAACGCCGCGUGAGUGAAGAAGGUUUUCGGAUCGUAAAACUCUGUUGUUAGAGAAGAACAAGGAUGAGAGUAACUGUUCAUCCCUUGACGGUAUCUAACCAGAAAGCCACGGCUAACUACGUGCCAGCAGCCGCGGUAAUACGUAGGUGGCAAGCGUUGUCCGGAUUUAUUGGGCGUAAAGCGAGCGCAGGCGGUUUCUUAAGUCUGAUGUGAAAGCCCCCGGCUCAACCGGGGAGGGUCAUUGGAAACUGGGAGACUUGAGUGCAGAAGAGGAGAGUGGAAUUCCAUGUGUAGCGGUGAAAUGCGUAGAUAUAUGGAGGAACACCAGUGGCGAAGGCGGCUCUCUGGUCUGUAACUGACGCUGAGGCUCGAAAGCGUGGGGAGCAAACAGGAUUAGAUACCCUGGUAGUCCACGCCGUAAACGAUGAGUGCUAAGUGUUGGAGGGUUUCCGCCCUUCAGUGCUGCAGCUAACGCAUUAAGCACUCCGCCUGGGGAGUACGACCGCAAGGUUGAAACUCA
rnacentral:rRNA from 1 species